UACAGAGGGUGCGAGCGUUAAUCGGAAUUACUGGGCGUAAAGCGCACGUAGGCGGCUUGGUAUGUCGGGUGUGAAAUCCCCGGGCUCAACCUGGGAACUGCAUCCGAAACUGCCUUGCUCGAGUAUGGGAGAGGGAAGUGGAAUUUCCGGUGUAGCGGUGAAAUGCGUAGAUAUCGGAAGGAACAUCAGUGGCGAAAGCGACUUCCUGGACCAAUACUGACGCUCAUGUGCGAAAGCGUGGGGAGCAAACAGGG
rnacentral:rRNA from 1 species